GGAUUUGAGGCGAUCUGGGCUUACAGUCUGGUCACCCCCAUUGAUCGCCAGGGUUGAUUCGGCUGAUUUUGCGCGCUAGGGCGGUGUCCCCUUCCUCCCUCACCGCUCCAUGUGCUCCCUUCCCGAAGCUGGCCGCGCUCGGUCGAAGAGGACGACCAUCCCCGAUAGAGGAGACUUCUUUCGGUCAAAGGGUACACGAGUAGCUCCGCCUUCCCCUGCUAGAACCUCGAAACCAAGCUCUCAAAACAAUGCCAAUGCAACUUCAUGUUUUUAAGUGGGAGAGUCAUGUU
rnacentral:snRNA from 1 species